rnacentral:rRNA from 1 species
GACGAACGCUGGCGGCGUGCUUAACACAUGCAAGUCGAACGCUGAAGCUUGGUGCUUGCCCUGGGUGGAUGAGUGGCGAACGGGUGAGUAAUACGUGAGUAACCUGCCCUUGACUCUGGGAUAAGCCUGGGAAACUGGGUCUAAUACUGGAUACGACAUGUCACCGCAUGGUGGUGUGUGGAAAGGGUUUUACUGGUUUUGGAUGGGCUCACGGCCUAUCAGCUUGUUGGUGGGGUAAUGGCUCACCAAGGCGACGACGGGUAGCCGGCCUGAGAGGGUGACCGGCCACACUGGGACUGAGACACGGCCCAGACUCCUACGGGAGGCAGCAGUGGGGAAUAUUGCACAAUGGGCGAAAGCCUGAUGCAGCGACGCCGCGUGAGGGAUGACGGCCUUCGGGUUGUAAACCUCUUUCAGCACGGAAGAAGCGAAAGUGACGGUACGUGCAGAAGAAGCGCCGGCUAACUACGUG